GGCAGUUCUCCGGUGAUGCACCCCAGAAUUGAGCUCCCUCCUCUCUGGUUCCAAGGUGCAUCACCCGAGAACCACU
rfam:Myotis lucifugus cont2.5048, whole genome shotgun sequence.